rnacentral:rRNA from 1 species
CCCCAGACUCCUACGGGAGGCAGCAGUGGGGAAUAUUGGGCAAUGGGCGCAAGCCUGACCCAGCAACGCCGCGUGAAGGAAGAAGGCCUUCGGGUUGUAAACUUCUUUUAAGGGGGAAGAGCAGAAGACGGUACCCCUUGAAUAAGCCACGGCUAACUACGUGCCAGCAGCCGCGGUAAUACGUAGGUGGCAAGCGUUGUCCGGAUUUACUGGGUGUAAAGGGCGUGCAGCCGGAGAGACAAGUCAGAUGUGAAAUCCACGGGCUCAACCCGUGAACUGCAUUUGAAACUGUUUCCCUUGAGUGUCGGAGAGGUAAUCGGAAUUCCUUGUGUAGCGGUGAAAUGCGUAGAUAUAAGGAAGAACACCAGUGGCGAAGGCGGAUUACUGGACGAUAACUGACAGUGAGGCGCGAAAGCGUGGGGAGCAAACAGGAUUAGAUACCCCAGUA